CCUGUGGGCACAGAGACACAGCUGAGAAGCAGAGAGAGAGAGCAGUGAGGUGGAAACAUGGCUGAGCAUGAAAGACAGAAAUAGAGCGAUAAAGCAGUCAAUUAGGCCGAGAGAGGAGGAGGAGAAAUCCUUCACGGAGGCAGCGAUGCUUUGUGCAGAUCAGGUUCUUCCUCUCCUCCCUUUUCUUCAUCGUGUGUGGAUGUGAGAACCUAAUGGAUUUUCAACCUGUGUGGAGCUCACAGGAUGCUCAGAUCCACGUGGGCCUGUGACGCCGACACAGCUACCUGCUCCCCUGUGAGGAUGGAUCCAGCGGCGCUGACCCAGAUUGUGGAGUCCAGGCUGGUCGCUGUGCUGCUCUGUGAAUGCGACAUGGAUGUGCUUCACCAUGCAUUCCUCUGCUGACAUCUAUCUCCACUAGCAAGCGCUGCCACCAAUAUCGUCAUCAGUAUCAGGAGGACAACAUCUGCUGUGGAGGAAAGGGAGCAGACCAACUCUCUGUGGUGGAGCUGGCAGAUGCUGACACAGCCGCAGCACUUCUCCAGGAUGGAGGAGACUGUCCGAACACUACUACAGAACCAGGACUCACUGGAGGGCCCCGGUGUGGACCCACUGGAUCUCAUGAAAGCAUAUAAGGACAAACUCCUGGAAGAAAUGUGGAAGCAGCAGGACAGUCUUGAGGGGCCCACAGCUACAGAAGCAGAGAUUUCUACUUCUCUGGAGGCCAGCGGUGGUUCAGAGGAAAACUCAAACAGCAAUUCACUGCUAGGACGACUCCGAGCUCUGGAGGCGGAGAACUCCGCUCUGUCCUUGGAAAAUGAUAACCAGAGGAAGCAAUAUGAGCGCUGCCUGGAUGAGGUGGCCAACCAGGUAGUCCAGGCUCUCCUUACUCAAAAGGACUUGAAAGAAGAAUGCGUAAAGCUGCGCACGCGUGUCUUUGACUUGGAGCAGCAAAACCGCAUACUGAGCGUGUUGUUUCAACAACGAGUCAGAAUGUCCCCGAGUCCUGCCCCCAAGGAAAUCCAAACAAAUGGAAAAGCGGGUAUUGCUGCAGGAAAGUGGCCCAGUCUUCUGAGCCUAACAUGCCCACGCAGUAGUGGAAGUGAAAUGUCACUAUCUAGCGCUUGUAGUGACUAUUCCACCGGCUCCCAUACUUGGGCUGAGGGACGUGGUUUGUCCAAACAGUGUGCCACAAGCCGGGACAAAAGGAUGAGUAUGGGGUCUGCAUUCAGUAAUCAUUCUGCACUUUUGGAGCAGACAGACUUUGGACGUAAAGAAGGACACACUGACGGAAGCGGCCCCAAAGAGAAAUCCUACCCUGUUCCUGCGCCACACUGCAGAGACUGCAUGACCUCUAAUGAGGACAUUUAUUCACUUGGCGUUAAGACCAACCCACUGGAGACGACAUCUGAACAAGCAGCCCAGACAAACAAAAAUGUUAAAGAAGGGAUUGCUGCCAUGGACGCUAAUGAAAGUAGCAGUGAUUUGCAUAUAUCACAAAGUAAGGAAUCCAAGCUAGAUGUCCCAACAGAUGAUGACAGCUUUUUGCAUGAAGACUCUGCAAAGCCUACAGGCAUGUUCCCUUCACAUAUUUCAGACAGCUUUACAUUUUCUCGUGGCCCAACAGUGCAAGUCAGUGGAAGUCCAACAGAAAGUCUUACACGCCUGGAAGAAAACAAUAAAGGGUCCCGAGAAGCAUGUGAGAACACUGGCAUAAUAAGUGAUAACAACAAUAAUCAAGAAAGAUCUACCGACCGUAAAUCCCGAUUGGAUCACAUGAAAAGACAACGGAGCAGACCUUCAGUGGAGGUUGAAGCAAGGAAAAGUGAUUUAAACAUAGUAUUUCAACAUUCCGCAACAAGAGCUCUUAGCUGUGUGAGUGAAGCAAGACAACGCAGCUCUUCAGUGGAGGUUUCUCAUUGCAGAGACCAUUCAAACAAGGAUCACAUGAUUUUGAAAUCUCCACAAAGAAACCAAAAACCAAAACCUCAUCUUUGUGACUCAGCAAGGAAGGCUUUCAUUCUACGUAGCAGGAGUGCAGAUGGAGGACCGGAACAGCAUAAACAUGUUCAUUCUCCUCUACAUCAGAAUCUUAUAAGGGCUCACAAAUCCAAAGGGCACUCCAAUGCACCUGGACACAGUGGUCCAAACAAAAGGACGAAUCAUGCUAAACUGCAUGGGUCAAGUCAUGUUGAAGUUGAACACGAUGAAGAUAUUGCACAAUCUAGCUGCAAGUCUCUGGAGCGUAUACCACAGCGCUCUCCUCUUGCUUCACCUGUUAAACAUUCUUUAGCAUCUAAGCCUUUAGAGGGGGAUGAAGUUGCAAAGAGUCAAACAGAGUUGCAAAUAACCAGACUUCCAUCCAGCAACAAUUGUGUUGAAGAGACUAUCUAUGAUAACUUACCCUGCACCCCCAAACCACCACAAGAACAGCUCUCUGAUGUAUUCUCUUCAGAACAUCGGUCUCCAUCACCUCCGCCUCCCCCCGGUCGAACAACUUCACUUCUCCGGAGAACUGCUUCUGACUCUGUACGCACUAAUCAAUCUGCAGUUCAGCCUCAGGGUGCUACCACUGGAAAGGCAUGUAGCAAUACCACGUCACAGGCAGGUCAGAUCUCUUCAGCUGUGCAGCUUCAACAGACCAACACUGCACCGAACAAUCAACAUUUACCCACACAAUUGGACUUUGAAAGAACUGGCGCUAUAAAAGAGGCACCUGCAGUACUCUUCAACCCUCACACAUCGAGGAUGCCGGUCAACCCAGUUCCAGAAGCACAGGAAUCAGCAAAGUUAUUAGUUGAGAGGACAGUCACAUAUCACAGUGGAAACGUUGCUGCCUCGAUAUUGCCAAGUCAGAAUAUCUUACAAAGAUCUCAGCAGAGCAUUAGUGAGCCAAGACUUUCAGAAGUCAUGCCUCAGAUAUAUUCAAAUGCCUACUACCAUAGUGUCACUAACAACUGUCAGAGUUCCACAUCCAGAUCUGCAAAAAUGGCUAUUCCUGCUAAUGUUAAAUCUCAUGAGUCAGUUGCCGGAAAAGAAAGUGGUACAUUCGUCAUUUUUGGUCGACAGAACAAAGAUGACACAAACCCAUCCGUAAAAGGCAUCCAGACAUUUCAGACAUAUAUUUGUGAUCCGCAGAUGAUGCAUGAAUAUGGCCCUCUUGACAAAGCCAGAAGAAAGAUUGAGACUCGGUGUAAUUCCCUGGAUUCUGAGCCCUGUGGUCUUCCCCUUGCAUCAGACAGUGGCGUGAUGUUAGACUGGGGCUUUGAUGAGGAAGGUUGGCUGUUCAAACGGUCAGUCUCUGUGUCAAACAGACCUCCACUUAAGCCAGUAAUGGGCAUGAAUGGGGCCAAAGCUCGAAGCCAGAGCUUUGGCGCACGCUACAUGGAUAGACCAAGCUUUAACAGAUCUGGGAAAGUCCGCACCCAAAUCAAAACACACUCGGGGAGCUCCUUAAACUCUCUUGGUGAUGUCCUCCCAGGAAGCAUGAGCUGCUCCAGUAGCUACCAUUGCCCAAUGAACCGAUCUCUUUUGAACAACUUCCUAAUUGAAGAAGGCCUGGCAGUCCCUCCACAUUUGGGGUCGUCAAGUGAAAGACUCCAAAGUCUUAAACACCAACGAGAACAGGCAAGACGACUUCAGAUCGAGCAACAGUUUUCAAGCGCAUUUGGUGAACCAGUGUGUGAAGAGCCAGAGAGACAAAGUACGAUCACCACUAUAGAAGAGAAGGUAAUGCUCGGCAUAGAAGAGAACUUGCAUAAAUCUCAAGAACAGGAGAGAAGCAGUGAAGUGAAGCAAAAAUCUGCCUCAACUUUGGCCAACUGGUUUGGUUUCCGGAAAGGUAAGCUUCCCGUUCCAAGCAGCAAGAAGAUGGAUCCCCCAAAAGUGAAAGAAGACAAGAAGGAUCAAAAGAUUACGUCACUUCUUGGAGGAAAGCAGACAAAAAUGGACAAAAAGAAAGACAGGAGAAAAAGCGAUGGAAAAGAUUGCUCUGUAGGAAGGAGAGAGUCACAUGAUGCAGUGCGAGCAUGCAUCUCAAUGCCCUGCCCAGGGAUGUCCCUUAAUGAGACACAAGGACAAAAUGACAUCAUCAGGGACGCACAGAUAAUGAACCAGAUAGCUGAUGGUGAAAAUGGAUCCCUCGUGAAGACCACCAUCCAGGAGGCUGUUAUAGGGUCUGGCUGCAAGAUGCGAACUUUGGACAGUGGAAUUGGGACCAUCCCCCUGCCUGAAUCCUGUUCCUUCUUCUCCUCUAUCCUGCACUUUCUCCCCAAGUCGUCAUCUACCCCAGAACAGUCUCUCAGUUCUUCCAGUGUCCCUGACCCCUACAGUGAGGAGGUGACUCCAUCCCCAUUACCCCGAUGGAGAAUACCCUCCACUUUUAAGGACAACAACCAUGCAAGAGUGUCCAAUUCUCUGUCUGACACCUCCAUGACCCAUAUCCAGUCAGUGCCUUUCCCCACUGUGGCCUUCCUCCAGCCCAUGCAACCCCAACCUGAACCCAUUGUGACCUCUGCCCGUGUGUGUGACACUCAGAUCAGACCCCCAAGAGCACCACAAGGUAAAGUCAAGCUGCUAGAACUCACCGGGAAGUAUGAUGAUUCACAAGAAAUAGCAACUACACAAAGUACAUCAUUCUGUCUGCUCUGCGUUGGGACUUUUUUUUCUGUUGUUCAGCUGGUUUACAAACGUAUUUAGAUGUUGACAGAUGGUGCGAGGUGUUCCACACUUUGGACAAAUUCAAAAUUUCCUACAGCGAGCUUUGGUUAACGGUUGUUGCCAUGAUACUCUGCCGUUUUUUUGCCGUAUUCACUGUUACUUGGGCGGAAUCUCGUUAGACGUUUUUGGCUGUUGGGCAGGCGGACAGCUUGUCCUACUCCAGCCACUGAACUCAUUUCGACAACAAAAGGGUAAAAAAAAUGUUAUGUUUUCACAGCAAUGACAUGUUAUAUCAUAUAUCACAUGUUCACAUAUUUCAUGUAGGCGGACCCUCUCCUCCAGGGUGAUAAGUGACUUAUGGGACUCAGCAAGUUCCUUGAGCAGGACAUCGAAGUGUGUGUGUCAUGUACAAUUUCUUUUUACAGGCAUAUGUGUACAACCAAUUCAGAAUACAAUAUCUGACCCACAUUGUGUCUCUUUUUCUUUUUAUGUCUUGGCUGAAAUUUUGCACAACAGUUGAGGUCAGAUGUUUAAUACACUCAUUUUGGGCAUGAAUGCCAUAUUCAUUUUAGGGUUUCUCACAUUUAACCAACUUGCAAGGGUUAAAUAAAGACAACUGGACUCUUUCUGUUUGUUGAAGAUGUUUCACCUUUCGUCCAAAAGGCUUCUUCAGUUCUAAAAUGUAAAUGUAGAUUAGUGUAAUGACCUCUACAUUGGCGAGGCCAAGCAACCGUUGCCGUAACAUAGGAGAGUCAGAAUCAGAAUGGCUUUACUCUUCACUUAAACAGAGGUACAAGCGAAAUUGUGCAAUCACCCGUCCAUACAUAUACUGGUACAACAUACCAUACAAUAAGACAGGGGGGUAGACAGGACAUGAUGACUGGGCGAUAAAAAGGGGGGAGAGGAAAGGCAUCAACAAGAGGAGAGGGGAGGAAAAAAAGACAAUUCCGAACUAAGCUCCUAUAUGGGAGUACAGUGUGGGACUGGCAAAAAACCUCGUCAACAUAGGCACAAAUAAACACACUUUACAACAUGAACUCGAGCCUUGCACCAGGGGAGGCUGGAAAAGGGGAGUGGAGGUGUUCCCAGCACAGGCCAGCAGCAGCAGAGCAGCAAAGUACUUUAUUCGGGUCCAGGUUAGCAGGUCUCUUGCAUCUGAAAAUGAAGAGACAUUCCUUUGAGGACAAUGAUGUCCAAAUUCUGGUUAGGGAAGACCACUGGUUUGAAAGAGAUGUGAAAGUAGCCUUCUAUGUCACCUGUUGUUUGCUGCAAAUAUUGUCUAACAACUGUGCCCCAAAGACUGUAUCUUUCAUUGGGAAGAGUGGCCACUAACAGGUUUCGCCACCAGAAAAGCAAACGACCUAUUGUUGUGCAGGAUGGUUGUUCACCAGCCACGCUGGACCACAAUAACGACAACAUUUGGUGGACACACCCAAAACAGAGGGAAAUAAGGAAACUCCAAAUGUAAAAUUUUAGGACUGAAGAAGCCUUUUAGAUGAAAGGUGAAACGUUAUGAACAAACAAGAAAAACCCAGUUUCCUCGAUUCAACCUGUGCGGAUUACCAUGACCUGAAUGACUGAGAAUGUACACCGACACAUUUAACCAAAUUAGAGUGGAAGUAUAUAUAUACUUGAGCCUGUAUUUAUAAUUUUCACCUUGUUUAAAGAAAAAAACAAAAUAAAUUCAAAUUUGUGUACCCAAUUCUAGUUUAAAAAAAUCAUAGAAACUGUACAUUGUAAUAUGAUUCCAUCUUGGAACUACAACGGUUUCAAUAAAUCAUUUAGGGCACAAAAUGGAUAUAACAUUAAUUUCCCAUAAUGAGUAUGUAAAUUUCUGACUAUGUCCCAGGAAAAAAAAAGAUAAAUCAUAUUGUUUUUUUCUAUUUAAAAUGUGUAUAUAUAUGUAAUGCAUAUGUGUGUAUUUUCUCAGGUGGAAUGGAACCAAAGAAGCUGACAUAUAUCAAAACAAAAACAAGAGCCCCUCAGAACCAACAGAAAGAACAGAAUCGACUUCGGCUUGCCAACUAGUUUGUGAAGUCCAUUUAAACUAAGGAAUCAAUCAGCAUGAUUCAGCAUUUGAAACACAGAGAAGCUUCCAGUUUGGACUUGUGUCAAGUGGACAGCAUGCAACUUGAUGUUGAAGGUUUCAGCUGAGAUUGAUGUCAAACAUUUUGGUUGCCUUCACAGCUGAUUAUGGUUGUUAAAUUACGUACAUCUCUCUUGUCUCAUCCAAACUAUUUCUUGCCAUACAACAACUGAUUUCAUGUUAGUGAUGUCAGCAUUGCUACUAGACAAUUUGUGCAAAGGAAUCAAGACACUGGUUUUAAUCCCCACAUGCAGCCUAUAGACAAAGUGAAAAUUUCAGUAUGAUAAGCUUGCUUUUCAUACGGUCUUAAAUUAAAACAAGGAAUAUGUUUGUUCUGGUCAAAGAUCCUCUAUACGACAGAAGUGCUCUGCUUUUUUUAAGGACCUCCUGACAACAAUACCAGUCAAAGAUCUUCUAUUAUUCCAGUGUUUUUAGGAAACUUGCAAACCGGUCUGACGUCCUUCCCGGUUAGAAUUUGGCCCACAGGCCUCUAGUUUAAUAAUCCUGCACUAAGGACACGGUUGCAUGACAUCAUUUUUGGAGUCUUGAGUCUAUACUUGUUUUUUAUUCUCUUAUGGUUAUGAGUUAAUGACACUAAAUGUUAAGAAACAGGUGAAUGCCUUCGCGGAGAGGGUGUGAAAGGCCCCUUAGUAGCUUGAAGAUUGAAAAGUGCUAUCCAAGCCCAUUACCAUUUAGUUUGUCUAGUCCACUUCCUACUCCGUCAAACCUUUGCUGUCUUUCACGUGUCAUCAUAUCAAUCUCGUCAAGACUGGAGAACCUCAUCACUGUAUACUUUCCAAUUCUUUACACAUAAUAGUUGUAUUUAUGGUUAUGAAAAGUUACCAUAUGGACAACUAAAAACUUUGAAAACAUGUACUGCAGGGUUGGGAAAACCUUUUGACUCGCGGGCCACAUUGUGUUAAAAAUUUGGCAGAGGGGCCGUCUAUAUGUAGUUGGCAUUAAACAGAACGACAUACUUGCUCACGGUGCAACCAAACAAAAAGUUAACGCAUGACAUAAAUCAACAACUAAGCGCUAAACAUAACACAUACUGUAGCUUAAAACUGUUAGUUACAAAUGCCCGCAAGGCAUGCUGAGUCGUGCAGCUGCAACAGCAAUAUGAACUAUGAACAAUAAAACAUUGGAUAUCAAGAGUAUGUUAACUCCUCCUUGAUUACUUCUCUGACGACCUCCUCAACAUAUUUUGCAAUCUAGCAAAAAUGUGACAAAACACAGAAAAAUGUUGUGAGACAGAGUACCACAAGCUACCCAGCAUGCCUUGCAGCCUAAAUACAUGGGUGAUUUUUUGGCACGGGUAUUGCGCGUAGAUAUUGUAUAUGUUUGUAUGCCCAUAUGGUGUAGUAGGUAGGUUACUUUGUGCAUCGUGUGUGUUGACGUGUUGUGUUGUUUGGAUGACUUUUAUGUACAAGCUACAGAUGGUACAACUCAAGCGUGCCACAAUAGCACUGCAAGUGAUGUUGCCAGCUACAGUUUCCAUGUUAACGUUUAAAAAAAGGAAUGUGGAAAUGCCCGGUUGGCCGGAUUAAGAUGUGGCCAGCCUGAUGUGGCCCGUGGGCCACAGUUUGCCCACCCCUGAUCUACUGUAACUCCAGGCAUGGAUCAUGAGAGUGUCAUCAUGUUGGCUGCUUACACAUGUAGUGAUGUAUAUACUGGCACAGGUCUGUAGGCUGCAUGAUGUUUGUACAUACUGUAUGAGAAGGAUACAACAUGUCAAAUGAACAAUCGUGUACAGCUGCUUGUGUGGCGAUACACACACUGCUAGUCAAGGUUUGAACUUCAAGUGGUGCAUUUCUGUCCGAACACCUGGAUAAUAACCUCCUGAAAGAACCAUUAUCUAUUAUCUAUUAUCUAUUAUCUAUCUGGUUAUUACUGUGCCACCAUCAGACUGUGCUCACACAUGUAGUUUGCUACUGUAGCCCGGACCAAAAAAAGCCCGGAAUGGAGUACCUGCAGAAAAUUCACACAAGCACAGGGAGAACAUGCAAACUCCACACAGAGAGGUCCAGGCCAGGUUCCAGAACCACCUUGCCAUGAUGCAGCAUUGUCAGCGAGCUAAGAAAUGUAUGCUUAAAAUCACAAACCGAUUAAAUCUGGUGUGGUUACUAAGAAAUACUAUUCAAUACUUGACAUUUUCCACUAGUAUUAACACGUUUUCUGUAAAUAAAAGUAUGUCUGUAAGUUGACAAUCACAUCAUGGUUGAGCUCAUUUCUGUCUGCCAGUAUGCUGUAGACCAGACUGAGCAUUGGCACUCUUUAAAUAGUUGUAUUGUCCUAAUCUGCAUGGUCUGUGGUGUGGAGGUGGCACCAUAUGAAUCCCACCUUCUGAAUUUCACCUUCUGAAAAGUUUUACUGCAGGUUGUCUAUCACAUACUGUGUAAUUACAUAUAUUGUAACUGUCACGAACAAAUGCAAUGACUUUGACUUGACGCCACAAUGUAACAUCGGUGCACGUCUCACGUGAAAUGCAAAUCUGUCCUUUGUGCAUUGUGUUGAACAGUUAUUCCACAGUUAUGACAUCGAGACAACCCCUAGAGUUGCGCAUGGAACCUUGUAGACUUGAUUUUACUCGCUCAGGGAGAAGACUUUAAAUUGUCUCAGAUAGAUGCUGUGGAUUUCAAGAGUAAACGUCCAUUUAGCACACAUUCAUGCGUCAUGCCACUACUUGAUCUCAGUAUUUACCUCAUGUUUGUUUGUUGUGCUUCUGCAAGAUAAUUUCUUACUUUAUGAUGUAUACUAGGUCAUUUACAGUGAUAUUUUGGUGUUACUAUUACAUUCCUGCAUACAGUAUUUCCCAAUAAUUCUAGCAGCGUUGCAAUGUUUUCUCAUAUUCUGUUUCACAAAUGUUGCUGAACACUGAGCUAAAUACAUUUACAGAAAUGCAAAAGAACUUACAUAUCAACUGUGUGACUAUGGAGCCAUAUUCCUAUGAAAAAUGUAACACUUUCCUAUGAUUUCAACUGUAGCAUUAGACAUCUUUGUUCCAACUAUAUGCAUGUUGAUUAGAGUAUUAGCAGUGCUCUUUAUACUAAUAGCAAUGCCCAGGUCUUGUAAAUGUGAGGCACUUUUUUAAUGGUAACACUGAUACGGGUGGAUGGACCUUGGCAUCUUUACUGUUGUAAAAUGUCAACAUGUCAUAAAUAAUGAAAAGCGGGACCCUUACAAGCAUAUUGUAUUUUUCUAACAUUUACUCUUAAUGCCCUGUAUUUACACACAUCACUGAUUGGUGUAUUCUAUCGUUGCACAUAGUUACUCACAAUCACAGUCAUUUUCCGUGUCUUUUUUUUUAUAGUCCAAUUACCACAGUGAUUUUGUGUGACUGUUACCUUAAUAACUGAAAAUCAUUUACGUUGAAUAUUCCUUGUUUUUUGUUCAUGAAAAAAAUAAAGAAUGCAUUUUUUCAUUACUUUGACUUUUCUUUUUCAUCAAAUGCAAGAAAUGUAAAACCCAAACUCAUGACCAAGCGGGAUAAAACGAAAUAAAGGCAAUCCCACACUUUAACCUCCCUUGCAGACUGAUGGAAUAUAUUCAUUACAUUUAUUACAUUCAAUCAAGUGUUUUAUAUGGUAACAUAUUUUCAUGCCACCAUAUAAAACACUUUAUUGAAUGUUUUUAACCUUGAUUAUAUUGUAGGAUACAAAUGAAUACUUUUAAAGGGAAUUGCCUGCUUGCUGAGGAAUCAAUAACACAUGCCCUCCAGAGACGUGUAAAAAAAAAAAAAAUUUAAAGCCUCAAAGAAGAGUUGGAAAAACCAGGUCAUUAUCGGGAGUGGACUGAAACACACCUGAUCUGAGGUGGUCAAGCAGCAAAGAAGAGACAGCCACUCUGCCCCCAAGAACCAGGUCAAAGAGAAGGAUGAUGGGAGGAGAAGACAGCCAAUAGUGAGAAAUUAUGUAAGACCAACUCAUGAAACUAAUGUUGCCAAAGAAUUGUUGAGCUGGCAGACCAAGGUAAACGCCAAGGUUAAGACCAAAGGAGAGAAUGUCCUCUUUAGGACGGGUGAACACCAUCCCCAAGCUCGAAGUCAUCAG